CACGUAGGGCGCGAGCGUUGUCCGGAAUUAUUGGGCGUAAAGAGCUCGUAGGCGGCCUGUUGCGUCCGCUGUGAAAGCCCGGGGCUUAACCCCGGGUCUGCAGUGGAUACGGGCAGGCUAGAGGUAGGUAGGGGAGAAUGGAAUUCCCGGUGUAGCGGUGAAAUGCGCAGAUAUCAGGAGGAACACCGGUGGCGAAGGCGGGUCUCUGGGCAGUAACUGACGCUGAGGAGCGAAAGCGUGGGGAACGAACAGG
rnacentral:rRNA from 1 species